rnacentral:rRNA from 10 species
GAUCAAGUGUCUUAAGGGCAAUUGGUGGAUGCCUUGGCAUGCACAGGCGAUGAAGGACGUGAUACGCUGCGAUAAGCUACGGGGAGGUGC